AUGGAGUCGGGGCUGGCGCCGGUGAAGACGGAGCCAGGGCUGGCGCCGGUGGAGGCGGAGUUCGACGACGACGACACGGCCCUAGAAUGGGCACGCAAGGACUCCAUUGCGAUGGAGAAGGCGCGCCGGGAGAAGGAGAAGGAAUGCCAGCGCGCCGCCCUGCGCCGCUUCGAGGAGCGCCGACGCGGCCGCGUUGAAGAUGGGGUCGUCUUAUGCGACAGCGACGACGACGACGACGCGCCGCCGCCAGUCCGCCAUGGUGACGCCGGGCAGGGGUCCAACAGGGGCGCCCGCGUCAAGGAGGAGAAGGCCGACGACGACGAUGGCGGCGACGACUUCAGCCCUUUUCUUUUUUAG
rnacentral:rRNA from 1 species